rnacentral:rRNA from 1 species
GUUAGGAAUAUUGGACAAUGGGCGCAAGCCUGAUCCAGCCAUGCCGCGUGAACGAUGAAGGCCUUCGGGUUGUAAAGUUCUUUAGCCGAUGAUUAUAAUGACUGUAGUCGGAAAAUAAGCCCCGGCUAACUUCGUGCCAGCAGCCGCGGUAAUACGAAGGGGGCGAGCGUUAUUCGGAAUCACUGGGCGUAAAGCGUGCGUAGGCGGUCUCGUAAGUUAGGAGUGAAAGCCCAGGGCUCAACCUUUGAAUUGCUCUUAAAACUGCAAGGCUAGAAUCUCGGAGAGGAUAGCGAAAUUUCCAGUGUAGCAGUGAAAUGCGUAGAUAUUGGAAGGAACACCAGUGGCGUAAGCGGCUAUCUGGACGAGUAUUGACGCUGAGGCACGAAAGCGUGGGGAUCAAACAGGAUUAGAAACCCUGGUAGUCC